rnacentral:rRNA from 1 species
UUAAAUUGAAGAGUUUGAUCAUGGCUCAGAUUGAACGCUGGCGGCAGGCCUAACACAUGCAAGUCGAGCGGAAACGAGUUAUCAGAACCUUCGGGGGACGAUAACGGCGUCGAGCGGCGGACGGGUGAGUAAUGCCUAGGAAAUUGCCCUGAUGUGGGGGAUAA